AUUCCUGUAUUUUAAUGGAUAAAAUUUUAAACUACGGAUUUAAAGCUAAAGGUUCAAAUCCUUUCAGGAA
rnacentral:tRNA from 1 species